ncrna:unclassified sequences RT-4 RNA
UACACCGCUGACCGCUGAAAUGCGGCUUACUCGCCAUAAUUGGAAAGAUGAGUGGAAAUAGGUCCGAUACAGGGCACCCGGUAAAGCGGUCGCACCUGCCGGGUGCAGGAGAUAGAA